rnacentral:rRNA from 1 species
AUUGAACGCUGGCGGCAUGCUUUACACAUGCAAGUCGAACGGCAGCAUAGGUGCUUGCACCUGAUGGCGAGUGGCGAACGGGUGAGUAACAUAUUGGAACGUACCGAGUAGUGGGGGAUAACUAAUCGAAAGAUUGGCUAAUACCGCAUACGCUUUGAGAAGGAAAGUAGGGGAUCGCAAGACCUUACGCUAUUUGAGCGGCCAAUAUCGGAUUAGCUAGUUGGUGGGGUAAAGGCCUACCAAGGCGACGAUCCGUAGCGGGUCUGAGAGGACGAUCCGCCACAUUGGGACUGAGACACGGCCCAAACUCCUACGGGAGGCAGCAGUGGGGAAUUUUGGACAAUGGGGGCAACCCUGAUCCAGCCAUGCCGCGUGUCUGAAGAAGGCCUUCGGGUUGUAAAGGACUUUUGUUAGGGAAGAAAAGAUACUUGAUAAUACCAAGUAUUGC